rnacentral:rRNA from 1 species
UCUUCCGCAAUGGACGAAAGUCUGACGGAGCAACGCCGCGUGAGUGAUGACGGUUUUCGGAUCGUAAAACUCUGUUGGUAGGGAAGGACAAGUACCGUUCGAUCAGGGCGGUACCUUGACGGUACCUAACCAGAAAGCCACGGCUAACUACGUGCCAGCAGCCGCGGUAAUACGUAGGUGGCAAGCGUUGUUCGGAAUUAUUGGGCGUAAAGAGCGCGCAGGAGGUUUCUUAAGUCUGAUGUGAAAGCCCCCGGCUCAACCGGGGAGGGUCAUUGGAAACUGGGGAACUUGAGUGCAGAAGAGGAGAGUGGAAUUCCACGUGUAGCGGUGAAAUGCGUAGAGAUGUGGAGGAACACCAGUGGCGAAGGCGACUCUCUGGUCUGUAACUGACGCUGAGGCGCGAAAGCGUGGGGAGCGAACAG